AGAGUUUGAUCAUGGCUCAGAUUGAACGCUGGCGGCAGGCCUAACACAUGCAAGUCGAGCGGUAGCACAAGAGAGCUUGCUCUCUGGGUGACGAGCGGCGGACGGGUGAGUAAUGUCUGGGAAACUGCCUGAUGGAGGGGGAUAACUACUGGAAACGGUAGCUAAUACCGCAUAACGUCUUCGGACCAAAGUGGGGGACCUUCGGGCCUCACGCCAUCAGAUGUGCCCAGAUGGGAUUAGCUAGUAGGUGGGGUAAUGGCUCACCUAGGCGACGAUCCCUAGCUGGUCUGAGAGGAUGACCAGCCACACUGGAACUGAGACACGGUCCAGACUCCUACGGGAGGCAGCAGUGGGGAAUAUUGCACAAUGGGCGCAAGCCUGAUGCAGCCAUGCCGCGUGUGUGGAGAAGGCCUUCGGGUUGUAAAGCACUUUCAGCGAGGAGGAAGGGUAGUGUGUUAAUAGCACAUUGCAUUGACGUUACUCGCAGAAGAAGCACCGGCUAACUCCGUGCCAGCAGCCGCGGUAAUACGGAGGGUGCAAGCGUUAAUCGGAAUUACUGGGCGUAAAGCGCACGCAGGCGGUUUGUUAAGUCAGAUGUGAAAUCCCCGCGCUUAACGUGGGAACUGCAUUUGAAACUGGCAAGCUAGAGUCUUGUAGAGGGGGGUAGAAUUCCAGGUGUAGCGGUGAAAUGCGUAGAGAUCUGGAGGAAUACCGGUGGCGAAGGCGGCCCCCUGGACAAAGACUGACGCUCAGGUGCGAAAGCGUGGGGAGCAAACAGGAUUAGAUACCCCGGUAGU
rnacentral:rRNA from 1 species